UACGUAGGGUGCGAGCGUUGUCCGGAAUUACUGGGCGUAAAGAGCUCGUAGGUGGUUUGUCGCGUUUGUCCGUGAAAACUCACAGCUUAACUGUGGGCGUGCGGGCGAUACGGGCAGACUGGAGUACUGCAGGGGAGACUGGAAUUCCUGGUGUAGCGGUGGAAUGCGCAGAUAUCAGGAGGAACACCGGUGGCGAAGGCGGGAUCCUGGGCCAGUACUGACGCUGAGGAGCGAAAGCGUGGGGAGCAAACAGG
rnacentral:rRNA from 1 species